rnacentral:rRNA from 1 species
GGCGCCGGGAUUGCCUCAGUAGCGGCGAGUGAAGCGGCAAGAGCUCAGAUUUGAAAUCGUGCUUUGCGGCACGAGUUGUAGAUUGCAGGUUGGAGUCUGUGUGGAAGGCGGUGUCCAAGUCCCUUGGAACAGGGCGCCCAGGAGGGUGAGAGCCCCGUGGGAUGCCGGCGGAAGCAGUGAGGCCCUUCUGACGAGUCGAGUUGUUUGGGAAU